UACGAAGGGGGCUAGCGUUGCUCGGAAUCACUGGGCGUAAAGCGCACGUAGGCGGCUUUCUAAGUCAGGGGUGAAAUCCUGGAGCUCAACUCCAGAACUGCCUUUGAUACUGGAGAGCUUGAGUCCGGGAGAGGUGAGUGGAACUCCGAGUGUAGAGGUGAAAUUCGUAGAUAUUCGGAAGAACACCGGUGGCGAAGGCGGUUCUCUGGGCCUGUGCUGACGCUGAGGAGCGAAAGCGUGGGGAGCGAACAGG
rnacentral:rRNA from 1 species